rnacentral:rRNA from 1 species
GACGAACGCUGGCGGCGGGCUUAACACAUGCAAGUCGAACGGAAAGGCCCUGCUUUUGUGGGGUGCGCGAGUGGCGAACGGGUGAGUAACACGUGAGUAACCUGCCCUUGACUUUGGGAUAACUUCAGGAAACUGGGGCUAAUACCGGAUAGGAGCUCCUGCUGCAUGGUGGGGGUUGGAAAGUUUCGGCGGUUGGGGAUGGACGCGCGGCUUAUCAGCUUGUUGGUGGGGUAGUGGCUUACCAAGGCUUGGACGGGUAGCCGGCCUGGGCGGGUGACCGGCCCAGCUAGACUGGGACUGCGACACGGCCCACACCGGUACGCGACAGAGGAGUAUGUAGUCCAGCGGAAUGAGGCAUAGUGUGGCGCAGCCGCGUGGCGUGAAAGGGGAAUCGGUUAGGAAUCCACUUUUCUUUGUCCCGAGACGUGAGUGACGGUAACGGGUGAAGAAGCCCCGGCUAACUACGUG